AGCUUUGCGCAGUGGCAGUAUCGUAGCCAAUGAGGUUUAUCCGAGGCGCGAUUAUUGCUAAUUGAAAAUGUGGAAAAUUAUAAAAAAGGAAAAUCAAUUAUAUACACUUCUAUACACUAAAUCAAUUAU
rnacentral:snRNA from 13 species